AUGCUCGGGGGUCCGGGAGGUCCCGGGGGCGACAAGCACGCGCACGACCGUGUCCGAGGGUCUCUCAACCACCGCUUGUCGUGGCGACCGUCGCCGAGGACUCGAUUUUAGGCCAACCACGGGCGGGAGCACGCGGGAGACCAGUAUCCGCCCCCGCCCUCGUGAGCCGAGGGGAGUGGGGGCGACGAUGCGUGACACCCAGGCAGGCGUGCCCUCGACCAGGAGGCCUCGGGCGCAACUUGCGUUCAAAGACUCGAUGGUUCACGGGAUUCUGCAAUUCACACCAAGUAUCGCAUUUCGCUACGUUCUUCAUCGAUGCGAGAGCCGAGAUAUCCGUUGCCGAGAGUCGUUCAGAUUAUCACAAAAAGAAGGCGCGCCCCCGACACCGAGGCUACGAGGGCGUGCUCCUAGUACUCAAUUUCCUUGGCGCUUCUCGCGCCGGGGUUCGUUGGCGAGCCGUGUCGGGCGCAGAUGCGUCCCUCCACGGCACGCGUGGACACGAGGGGCGGGUGCCCCCCGAGCCCAGCUUGUCAUGCCACGGGUUCGCGGGU
rnacentral:misc_RNA from 1 species